rnacentral:rRNA from 1 species
ACUGAACGCUGGCGGAAUGCUUUACACAUGCAAGUCGAACGGCAGCACGGACUUCGGUCUGGUGGCGAGUGGCGAACGGGUGAGUAAUGUAUCGGAACGUGCCCAGUCGUGGGGGAUAACGUAGUGAAAAUUACGCUAAUACCGCAUACGAUCUAUGGAUGAAAGCGGGGGAUCGCAAGACCUCGCGCGAUUGGAGCGGCCGAUAUCAGAUUAGGUAGUUGGUGGGGUAAAGGCCCACCAAGCCAACGAUCUGUCGCUGGUCUGAGAGGACGACCAGCCACACUGGAACUGAGACACGGUCCAGACUCCUACGGGAGGCAGCAGUGGGGAAUUUUGGACAAGGGGCGAAGGCCUGAUCCAGCCAUUCCGCGUGCAGGAUGAAGGCCCUCGGGUUGUAAACUGCUUUUGUACGGAACGAAAAGGUCUCUCUUAAUACGGGGGGCUCAUGACGGUACCGUAAGAAGAAGCCCCGGCUAACUCCGUGCCAGCCGCCGCGGUAA